rnacentral:rRNA from 1 species
AGUCGAGCGGUAGAGAGAAGCUUGCUUCUCUUGAGAGCGGCGGACGGGUGAGUAAUGCCUAGGAAUCUGCCUGGUAGUGGGGGAUAACGUUCGGAAACGGACGCUAAUACCGCAUACGUCCUACGGGAGAAAGCAGGGGACCUUCGGGCCUUGCGCUAUCAGAUGAGCCUAGGUCGGAUUAGCUAGUUGGUGGGGUAAUGGCUCACCAAGGCGACGAUCCGUAACUGGUCUGAGAGGAUGAUCAGUCACACUGGAACUGAGACACGGUCCAGACUCCUACGGGAGGCAGCAGUGGGGAAUAUUGGACAAUGGGCGAAAGCCUGAUCCAGCCAUGCCGCGUGUGUGAAGAAGGUCUUCGGAUUGUAAAGCACUUUAAGUUGGGAGGAAGGGCAGUUGCCUAAUACGUAACUGUUUUGACGUUACCGACAGAAUAAGCACCGGCUAACUCUGUGCCAGCAGCCGCGGUAAUACAGAGGGUGCAAGCGUUAAUCGGAAUUACUGGGCGUAAAGCGCGCGUAGGUGGUUUGUUAAGUUGGAUGUGAAAUCCCCGGGCUCAACCUGGGAACUGCAUUCAAAACUGACUGACUAGAGUAUGGUAGAGGGUGGUGGAAUUUCCUGUGUAGCGGUGAAAUGCGUAGAUAUAGGAAGGAACACCAGUGGCGAAGGCGACCACCUGGACUAAUACUGACACUGAGGUGCGAAAGCGUGGGGAGCAAACAGGAUUAGAUACCCUGGUAGUCCACGCCGUAAACGAUGUCAACUAGCCGUUGGAAGCCUUGAGCUUUUAGUGGCGCAGCUAACGCAUUAAGUUGACCGCCUGGGGAGUACGGCCGCAAGGUUAAAACUCAAAUGAAUUGAC